rnacentral:lncRNA from 1 species
GACGCUACGAGGCCUUUACAAAGAUUCAUUAGUCAGUGGUAACCCGCUAAGGUUUCGGUGUCUGGCGUGCACCACCCAUCCCAGGUAAAAUGCAACGACUCAGUCCCCCCUCUUGCCUCAUCACGAGUAAGGUCACCCCAGACUAAGGUUUCUAAUUAAUCAGCCAAGACCAGAGCCAUUUAGUCUUGUGGUAGCACUGUUUUCCUGGGUGGUCGCUCCAUGUUCCAAUUAAAUAUUGUAAUCUUGUAUUAACAAAAGGUAUAUCAUAAAUAGAAUAAGUUCACCAUGUUGUUCAUUAGAACCACCAUAACCCAAGUAUAGCAGCUAAGCAUAGCUACCCAACAAAAAGGUAAACCCGGGUUGGCAAGGAAUAAUCAUAAAAACUAGGCAAACCUUAAUAGGACCCAUUAAAUUUAAUGCAAGCAUAUGCAAUAGUGAUUAAAUAAAGUUAUUGGGAC